rnacentral:rRNA from 1 species
GUGGGGAAUCUUCCGCAAUGGACGAAAGUCUGACGGAGCAACGCCGCGUGAGUGAAGAAGGUUUUCGGAUCGUAAAGCUCUUUCGUUAGGGACGAACGUGCUCUUUGUGAAUAAUGAGGAGUAAUGACGGUACCUAAAUAAGAAGCCACGGCUAACUACGUGCCAGCAGCCGCGGUAAUACGUAGGUGGCAAGCGUUGUCCGGAAUUAUUGGGCGUAAAGCGCGCGCAGGCGGGAUAUCAAGUCUGUCUUAAAAGUGCGAGGCUCAACCUCGUGAGGGGACAGAAACUGGUAUUCUUGAGUGUCGGAGAGGAAAGUGGAAUUCCAAGUGUAGCGGUGAAAUGCGUAGAGAUUUGGAAGAACACCAGUGGCGAAGGCGACUUACUGGACUGUAACUGACGCUGAGGCGCGAAAGUGUGGGGAGCAAACAGGAUUAGAAACCCCGGUAGUCC